rnacentral:misc_RNA from 1 species
GAAAUGCGAUAAGUAAUGUGAAUUGCAGAAUUCAGUGAAUCAUCGAAUCUUUGAACGCACCUUGCGCUCCUUGGUAUUCCGAGGAGCAUGCCUGUUUGAGUGUCAUGGAAUUCUCAACUCUAUUUGCUUUUGUGAAUAGAGCUUGGAUUUGGUGGUUUAUUGCUGGUACUUGUGAUCGGCUCCUCUUGAAUGCAUUAGCUCGAACCUUUGCGGAUCAGCUAUCGGUGUGAUAAUUGUCUACGCCGUUGCAGUGAAGCAUAUCAAUGGGCUCGGCUUCCAAUCGUCCUUUACUGGACAAUGACUGUGACCUUUGACCUCAAAUCAGGUAGGAUUACCCGCUGAACUUAAGC